rnacentral:rRNA from 1 species
UACGAAGGGUGCUAGCGUUGUUCGGAAUUACUGGGCGUAAAGAGCGCGUAGGCGGUUGUACUAGUCAGGGGUGAAAUCCCACAGCUUAACUGUGGAACUGCCUUUGAAACUGUGCAGCUGGAGUGUGUGAGGGGAUAGCGGAAUUCCUAAUGUAGAGGUGAAAUUCGUAGAUAUUAGGAAGAACACCAGUGGCGAAGGCGGCUCACUGGUCCGGUACUGACGCUGAGGUGCGAAAGCGUGGGGAGCAAACAGG